AGGUCUUGACAUCUUCUGCUAACCUAAGAGAUUAGGCGUUCCCUUCGGGGACGGAAUGACAGGUGGUGCAUGGUUGUCGUCAGCUCGUGUCGUGAGAUGUUGGGUUAAGUCCCGCAACGAGCGCAACCCUUAUUAUUAGUUGCCAGCAUUAAGUUGGGCACUCUAGUGAGACUGCCGGUGACAAACCGGAGGAAGGUGGGGACGACGUCAAAUCAUCAUGCCCCUUAUGACCUGGGCUACACACGUGCUACAAUGGACGGUACAACGAGUUGCGAGACCGCGAGGUUUAGCUAAUCUCUUAAAACCGUUCUCAGUUCGGACUGCAGGCUGCAACUCGCCUGCACGAAGUUGGAAUCGCUAGUAAUCGCGGAUCAGCAUGCCGCGGUGAAUACGUUCCCGGGCCUU
rnacentral:rRNA from 1 species